AACGAACGCUGGCGGCAUGCCUAACACAUGCAAGUCGAACGAGACCUUCGGGUCUAGUGGCGCACGGGUGCGUAACGCGUGGGAACCUGCCUUUAGGUUCGGAAUAACUCAGAGAAAUUUGAGCUAAUACCGGAUGAUGUCUUCGGACCAAAGAUUUAUCGCCUUUAGAUGGGCCCGCGUUGGAUUAGCUAGUUGGUGGGGUAAAGGCCUACCAAGGCGACGAUCCAUAGCUGGUCUGAGAGGAUGAUCAGCCACACUGGGACUGAGACACCGCCCAGACUCCUACGGGAGGCAGCAGUGGGGAAUAUUGGACAAUGGGCGAAAGCCUGAUCCAGCAAUGCCGCGUGAGUGAUGAAGGCCUUAGGGUUGUAAAGCUCUUUUACCCGAGAUGAUAAUGACAGUAUCGGGAGAAUAAGCUCCGGCUAACUCCGUG
rnacentral:rRNA from 1 species